ACGAACGCUGGCGGCGCGCCUAACACAUGCAAGUCGAACGGAGCAUUUAAGCUUGCUUAGAUGCUUAGUGGCGAACGGGUGAGUAACGCGUGAGCAAUCUGCCUCAGAGUGGGGGACAACAGUUGGAAACGACUGCUAAUACCGCAUAAGCCCACAGAACCGCAUGGUUCAGCGGGAAAAGAUUUAUCGCUUUGAGAUGAGCUCGCGUCUGAUUAGCUAGUUGGGGAGGUAACGGCCCACCAAGGAGACGAUCAGUAGCCGGACUGAGAGGUUGAACGGCCGCAUUGGGACUGAGACACGGACCAGACUCCUACGGGAGGCAGCAGUGGGGAAUAUUGCACAAUGGGGGAAACCCUGAUGCAGCGACGCCGCGUGGAGGAAGAAGGUCUUCGGAUUGUAAACUCCUGUUGUUAGGGACGAUAAUGACGGUACCUAACAAGGAAGUGACGGCUAACUACGUGCCAGCCGCCGCCGUAACAC
rnacentral:rRNA from 1 species